GUUCCUACGGGGGGCAGCAGUGAGGAAUAUUGGUCAAUGGGCGGAAGCCUGAACCAGCCAAGUCGCGUGAGGGAAGAAGGCCCUGCGGGUCGCAGACCUCUUUGGACGGGGAGCAAGGCCGCCGACGUGUCGGCGGAAGGAGAGUACCCGUAGAACAAGCAUCGGCUAACUCCGUGCCAGCAGCCGCGGUAAUACGGAAGGCCCGAGCGUUAUCCGGAUUCAUUGGGCUUAAAGGGAGCGUAGGCGGGCGUUCAAGUCAGCUGUAAAAUCGCGCGGCUCAACCGCGCCCCGCAGUUGAAACUGGG
rnacentral:rRNA from 1 species